rnacentral:lncRNA from 1 species
CAGCUGUAGUGCUCAUCGCCCAUACUGCUGUGCCUCAUAGCUCCCAUACUGCUGUGCCUCAUAGCUCCCAUACUGCUGUGCCUCAUAGCUCCCACUUUGAUGUGGGCCUUGGGGGAGAGUGCUAACGCCAGCCGUACCCUACAACACAAUUAUGCAGCUGAAUUUCCUUACAUUUGGGGAAGUUGCAGGGGUCAGCACAGAAUGAGCCUCAUCCUGGAAAACCACCUCCCUGAUAAUGGUUUCUCCCCUGCCAGUGAGGAUGACCCGGCCCCUGGAGCAGGCAGUAGCUGCCAUCGUGUGUACCUUCCAGGAGUAUGCAGGGCGCUGUGGUGACAAAUACAAGAUCUGCCAGUCGGAGCUCAAGGAGCUGUUGCAACUGCCACGAGUACUUCAAAGAGUGCCCCCCUGAGCCCCCUUGUCCCCAGUAGCCUCUGGUCCAAAGGCGUAUGCUAUCCCAGAAGGGCCAGGUCUGCUUUAGUGCUCCAUUUUUAUCCCUGAGUUGGUCCUACUCUCUCAGUGUUACCCCUUUCGAUCUAGGCUUGUCAGUCCCUGAGAUGCUAACCCCAGCUACCCACAAGCUUUAGAGGCUUGUCUAGCUGGUGAGGGGUGGAAUAGUCUUUGCUGCUUCUCUUCUUGGAAGGGAAGAACAUCUCUGCUCUUACCUGGAAGCUCAGGCAUGUGCACACAGUUGGGACUGCUGUGGCAGGGGCCUCCUCAACUCCCAAUAAAGAAAUGUCAUCUUG